rnacentral:rRNA from 1 species
GAAGAUGUAACGGGGCUAAACCAUGCACCGAAGCUGCGGCAGCGACACUCAGGUGUUGUUGGGUAGGGGAGCGUUCUGUAAGCCUGUGAAGGUGUGUCGUGAGGCAUGCUGGAGGUAUCAGAAGUGCGAAUGCUGACAUAAGUAACGAUAAAGCGGGUGAAAAGCCCGCUCGCCGGAAGACCAAGGGUUCCUGUCCAACGUUAAUCGGGGCAGGGUGAGUCGACCCCUAAGGCGAGGCCGAAAGGCGUAGUCGAUGGGAAACGGGUUAAUAUUCCCGUACUUGGUGUUACUGCGAA